rnacentral:rRNA from 1 species
GGGAUUGCCUCAGUAACGGCGAGUGAAGCGGCAACAGCUCAAAUUUGAAAUCUGGCUCCUUCGGGGUCCGAGUUGUAAUUUGUAGAGAGUGUUUCGGGUGAGACCACGGUCUAAGUCUAUUGGAACAUUACGUCAUAGAGGGUGAGAACCCCGUAUGCGACCGUGGCUCGAGCCCAUGUGAAGCCUCUUCGACGAGUCGAGUUGUUUGGGAAUGCAGCUCAAAAUGGGUGGUAAAUUUCAUCUAAAGCUAAAUACUGGCUGGAGACCGAUAGCGCACAAGUAGAGUGAUCGAAAGAUGAAAAGCACUUUGGAAAGAGAGUCAAACAGUACGUGAAAUUGUUGAAAGGGAAGCGCUGGCAACCAGACCUGUCCGUGGGCGAUCAGCCGCUGUUCUCAGCGGUGCACUCGUUCCGCGAUCAGGCCAGCAUCGGUUUCGGCGGUCGGAUAAAGGCCCGGGGAACGUAGCUCCCUCUCGGGGGAGUGUUAUAGCCCCGGGCGCAAUGCGGCCAGCCGGGACCGAGGACCGCGCUUCGGCUAGGAUGCUGGCGUAAUGGUUGUCAGCGACCCGUCUUGAAACACGGACCAAGGAGUCUAACAUCUAUGCGAGUGUUUGGGUGUCAAACCCAUGCGCGGAAUGAAAGUGAACGGAGGUGAGAACCCUUUAGGGCGCAUCAUCGACCGAUCCAGAUGUCUUCGGAUGGAUUUGAGUAUGAGCAUAGCUGUUGGGACCCGAAAGAUGGUGAACUAUGCCUGAAUAGGGUGAAGCCAGAGGAAACUCUGGUGGAGGCUCGCAGCGGUUCUGACGUGCAAAUCGAUCGUCAAAUUUGGGUAUAGGGGCGAAAGACUAUC